rnacentral:rRNA from 1 species
CGGUUAAGUUAGAAAGGGCGCACGGUGGAUGCCUUGGCACUAGGAGCCGAUGAAGGACGGGACGAACACCGAUAUGCUUCGGGGAGCUGUAAGCAAGCUUUGAUCCGGAGAUUUCCGAAUGGGGAAACCCACCACUCGUAAUGGAGUGGUAUCCAUAUCUGAAUACAUAGGAUAUGAGAAGGCAGACCCGGGGAACUGAAACAUCUAAGUACCCGGAGGAAGAGAAAGCAAAUGCGAUUCCCUGAGUAGCGGCGAGCGAAACGGGAUCAGCCCAAACCAAGAGGCUUGCCUCUUGGGGUUGUAGGACACUCUGUACGGAGUUACAAAGGAACGAGGUAGAUGAAGAGG